rnacentral:lncRNA from 1 species
UCCAAGUAAAUUUGUUUAUCGUUAAAGACUCUUACAUUUCACUUUUUUUAAAUGAGUCAAAUACAAACCAACCAAAUUGCCUGAACAAAUUUCCUUUGUGAAGAGACAUGAGCACCGCUAAACUGAAGGGCGUGAGAACCAAUAUCAACGGGUUGAGCACUGUAGAUCCCCAACCAACAAAGAACGAGACGCUAAAGGUCGUCGUAAAAGUCACACUCAAAAAAAGAU